rnacentral:rRNA from 1 species
UACGUAGGGUGCAAGCGUUAAUCGGAAUUACUGGGCGUAAAGCGUGCGCAGGCGGUUCGGAAAGAGAGGUGUGAAAUCCCAGGGCUUAACCUUGGAACUGCACUUCUACUACCGGGCUAGAGUACGUCAGAGGGGGGUAGAAUUCCACGUGUAGCAGUGAAAUGCGUAGAGAUGUGGAGGAAUACCGAUGGCGAAGGCAGCCCCCUGGGAUAAUACUGACGCUCAUGCACGAAAGCGUGGGGAGCAAACAGG